UCCCUGGUGGUCUAGUGAUUAAGACUCCAUGCUUCCAAUGCAGGAGACUCAGGUUUAAUCCCUGUUUGAGGAA
rnacentral:tRNA from 1 species